rnacentral:rRNA from 1 species
GAUGAACGCUGGCGGCGUGCUUAACACAUGCAAGUCGAACGAAGCAUUUAGGACAGAUUACUUCGGUUUGAAGUUCUUUAUGACUGAGUGGCGGACGGGUGAGUAACGCGUGGGUAACCUGCCUUGUACUGGGGGAUAGCAGCUGGAAACGGCUGGUAAUACCGCAUAAGCGCACAAUGUUGCAUGACAUGGUGUGAAAAACUCCGGUGGUAUAAGAUGGACCCGCGUCUGAUUAGCUAGUUGGUGAGAUAACAGCCCACCAAGGCGACGAUCAGUAGCCGACCUGAGAGGGUGACCGGCCACAUUGGGACUGAGACACGGCCCAGACUCCUACGGGAGGCAGCAGUGGGGAAUAUUGCACAAUGGAGGAAACUCUGAUGCAGCGACGCCGCGUGAGUGAAGAAGUAAUUCGUUAUGUAAAGCUCUAUCAGCAGGGAAGAUAGUGACGGUACCUGACUAAGAAGCACCGGCUAAAUACGUG